UAUUCUGCCCAUGCGGGAAGGAUGAGAAGCUUCUGACCAAGGUUCGACUCGAGCGCCAGCGAGAGAGCGUUGCCGCAGGCAACGACCCGAAGGGCGAAGCGCGCAGCGCUGAGUAAUCCUUCCCCCACCACCA
rnacentral:sRNA from 1 species